AAAAUAACAUGAAUUGAGUAAAAUAUACAGGUUGUCAACAUGUCAGCGAAGACUCUGACCAUAAUUGAUCCAAUGGAAAAAAUAGAGGACCACAAGCAGAAGAUCCUACAAAAUUGGAGGUAACAGCUUGUGAACGUUUAACUUUAAAAACUAAGGCCUUUACAGAUGUUCAAGCUUUGUCUUUUAUGUGUGACCAGAAUGCAUCUUGAACAAUAAUUAGGAACUUCUUGAAGAUGAAAGGCCAAGGAGACAAGUGGAGUGCAAUAACUUACCCACCAGAAUCAGCGAGACUGCAGUAGAAAGCUGUUUCAUCUCCUCUUGUCAGCCAAUCAUAUAUGUAACUAAAUGCCUAAUAUUUUAUUUUGCAGUUUGCUGAAGAGUUUCUGCACCACCACAGUGUCUUAAGCACCAAAACUGAUGCAGCAGCUGUUUUGGAGGCUCAGUUGGAAGUAGCAAGUUCCCUCCAACAGGCCAACAUGUAGUAUAUAGUCCCUGAACCCACUGCUGAGUCCUAAAACCCCUCCCACACAUAAUACAUCAUUGCUUUUUUGCUUCAGCUUCUGCUGAUUUGGUUUCGUGUUUUUAGGGUGCAGACACACUUGCAUCGGUGAGACCACCCUCCACGCCACACCACGCUCACCGACCAGCUCAAAUUGCCUGACUUCCACCGGAUGGGCACCAUGUUGUCGCUGUUGCACUUUAAAAAAGUCCCCUUGAUUUGAUGUUGUCCCAUGUUCAAUGUGUCCAAUAUCCGGUGAGGCUAGAACAAUGAAGACACGAUCCUUGAGGAACAAGACCAGGAAACUCAAUCAAGUGGAUCAUCCAGAGAGCUCCUCUGAUUUAGAUCUAGCUCCCAGUGGCUCAAUGCAGCAAAACCAUGAAAAAAGAGGAGAGACAAUCAGCCAGUCAAGAUCAGCAACUCCUGAGAUGGGUAACACAGAGCUCCUGCAUCCACGACCAACUGAGGAUGUUGGCAGUCAUUCUCAGCAGUCAACAAGAAGGCAUGGAUCUGAAGAUGACUGUUUACAGCCUGUGCCUAAUCAAGAUGCAGACCAGUUGUUAAGUAAUGUCUCAGAUUCCCCUCUUAAUCCUGCCAUUCAACAAUUUCUUGAGGACUCUGAAGUGAAGUUUGGACCCAUUGUUGGUGAUGAUAGUGAUAAUCAAGACACCACCCUUCCCUACAGUACUGUAAAAUUAUAAGUGCCAAUGUCAAUUAAUUUAAAGAGUUUUUCUUAUUCAUUCCGUCUAUAAAAUUAUAAAAUGUAUAAAAACUGUAACGUUACCAUCCGAAGAUCUUUCACCCUAAGCUUAUGUUUUUAGAUUCAUUUUUCAUCCAAACAUUCCAAAACUAAUUUGCAAUUCCAUGCAUCGUAGUAUGAAAUAGAAAAGCAGCAAAUCUAAAACCACAACGUUAUCACAAUUUUUGCAUGCUAAUUGAUACAUUGAUUGUCAAAGUCUUUGACUCUUUAGUGUUCACUAAAGGAUUAAUCAAUCAAUAAUCACACCUAAUUACCUUUUUAAAAUAUCUUGCAGCAUUCUAUAUUCAAUGAUGUUCCUGUAUCAUCAAGCUGUCUUCCAGCGUCUCCAGAUCCAUUUGACAAAGAAAUCCUUCUUUUGAAAUUAAGACGAGUAAACAUAGUUGAUGAUGUCCUUAAUGUCUUCAUGGAUCCAAAAGUACUGAAUGCUAGGCUAAGAAUGGAGUUUACAAAUGAGAAAGCUAUGGACACUGAUGGUGUGUUAAGAGAGGCAUACUCUGCAUUCUGGGACCACUUCUUGGACCAGUGUGAGGGGGAAGAUGAACGAGUACCCAGGCUACGACCAGACUAUUCUGAGAAAAAAUGGCAAGCGCUCGUAAGAGUGUGGUUGAAAGGAUACCUGGACCACAAAAUCCUACCAAUCAGACUGUCACCAGCCUUUGUUCUUGCCUGUUGUAAAGGAGUUAGCUCAGUGGAUGAAGAACUAUUGAUGAUGUCAUUUGCCAGAUUUCUUUCAGAGAAUGAGCGUGUGUUGCUUGAAAAAGCACUACAGGGUACCCUUGAUGAAACUGUUGAGGAGGACUUACUUGAUGAUUUCUCCAGAAUGGGCUCACAUUGCCUGCCCCCUAAAGACAAUUUACGGGCUGCUAUUUUAACAAUGGCACACAAAGCUCUUCUUCAAGAGCCAAAGUUCAUAAUCGACUGUUUCCACUCCAGUGUUCAUAAUGCUAUGCCAACGCUCAUAACCAAAGACAACAUAAUGGAGAUCUAUGAAUCUAAGAGGCCAACUAACAAGAAAGUGGCCCAGAUGACAAAACCAUAAUUUGAAAGCCUAAAUCCACAAGAGCAGACUGCUCUUAACCACCUGCUACGGUAUGUGAGAAGCAUCGACCAAAGAAAAUUGGAGAUCAUCUUGCGCUUCUGCACAGGAUCUACUGUGCUGUGCAAAGACACAAUUGAAGUAACUUUUAACACAUUGUGUGGUUUAAGUCGCAGGCCUGUAGCACGCACAUGUGGACCAGUUCUUGAGUUACCAUGCACUUACAGCACAUACCCUGAGUUUCGCAAAGAAUUUGAUAAUGUCUUGUCCGGCGACUGCUUCACAAUGGAUAUCCAUCUUCUACACUGAGGUUAUUAGGACAUUUGUCUGAGGCAAAACUGUUUCCACAGAUUUCCAUUUAUUGUUCUUAUUAAAACAGAAACUGUUGACAUUUUUUUAAAUAGUUUUAUUUUCUUAUUUUUUCUGUAAAUUGUUAGUACAUUGAGAUUUAUUUUUUUCCACAAGAUAGUUUAAGUUUAAUAAUUUUGAUACGUCAGCAGGGUCUGUUUGCACAGGUGAAUGUCCCUUUUUGUACAAUUAUUACAUUUUCAUGUGCAUCUUUUAUGCAGUUGUUAUUCUGAAUGAUGUUCAUCAUUCAGCAUUUUUGUCAUCAUUCAACAAAGAAAUUCCUGUUCAAUGCAAGUUCAAA